AACGAACGCUGGCGGCAUGCCUAACACAUGCAAGUCGAACGAGACCUUCGGGUCUAGUGGCGCACGGGUGCGUAACGCGUGGGAACCUGCCCUUAGGUUCGGAAUAACUCCCCGAAAGGGGUGCUAAUACCGGAUAAUGUCUUCGGACCAAAGAUUUAUCGCCUUUGGAUGGGCCCGCGUUGGAUUAGCUAGUUGGUAGGGUAAAAGCCUACCAAGGCGACGAUCCAUAGCUGGUCUGAUAGGAUGAUCAGCCACACUGGGACUGAGACACGGCCCAGACUCCUACGGGAGGCAGCAGUGGGGAAUAUUGGACAAUGAGCGAAAGCCUGAUCCAGCCAUGCCGCGUGAGUGAUGAAGGCCUUAGGGUUGUAAAGCUCUUUUACCCGGGAUGAUAAUGACAGUACCGGGAGAAUAAGCUCCGGCUAACUCCGUG
rnacentral:rRNA from 1 species